UGGCAGUCAAAGAAAAAAACAAUCCGCCUCCCGUACGCAUCUCGCCGGCCCGCCGGAACCCGCGGCGAGCUUCUCCACCGAUUCUCCCAUCGGGUUCCCGCCCCGAAGCGGCGGAGAGAAUGAGCGGCUCGUCCGAGGCCGGCCUGUGCCUACGUGCGCGCCCGUCGGCGACGCGUGGAGGAGGGAUGAGGCGGAGUGGAGGAGGGCAUCAGCGACGCGGUCGACCGGGCGAAGGUGGGCGCGCGGCUCCUGAGCGGGAGAGGGUGCGGGUCGCUGUGGUGUGAAUUACUAUUGGACAAUCACCCGACGCUGCACCUGAAUGGUUCUCUGUUGAAAAUAAUGUCAAGAGAGUUGUUGAUGCUCCUUUAUCCACUUUACCCAGAAAUUUCUCUGCCCCUUAUGAACUGAACAAGGUAGAUUCGAGAUUGGUGAGUCUAGGGCAGCGCAGGAAGGAUUGGAAUCAGAAUUUAUCCAUGAUUUGCUGCUUCAUUUUGCCAGCGUGCAGCAGAGCAGACCAUGACCAGUAUGAAAUGGCCAUCAUCAGAUGCAAGGGAAAUCUGAAUCGUCAUCGCAUUUUUGGCAUGAUCGAUCUGCCACACCCGAGUUGAACAUGUUUAAGUUCAGUUAUAUGAGAAGUGUCAGUCAGUAUUAACUUUUCAAGGUUAAUCACUAUGGUUUUUAACUUUUGCAAGGAACAGAUGUUUAACACUGUACCCUGUACAUAUGUCUAAGAUAUGAUUUGUAUUAUCAUACAGAAUCUCAUUGCAGCUGUGGCUAACAAUUUGGGCCAAACUGUGGCUCAUUGAUGUUCCUUGGCACACAUAUUUCGCUGUAGUACUGACGAUGAAUUCAGCAUCUGCAUAUAUACAAUUUUAGAAGGGGAAUUUUGGUAGCUUUGGAGAAA